GUCAGCCAUUGACAAAGAUAGUUCUCUUAAUAAUCAAGCAAUAUUAUAAAUCCCAGGGCUCAACCCUGGACAAGUGGUGGAAACUACCAAACUGGAGUACGGUAGGGGCAGAGGGAAUUUUCGGUGGAGCGGUGAAAUGCAUAGAGAUCAAAAAGAACACCAAUGGCGAAAGCACUCUACUGGGCCAACACUGACACUGAGAGACAAAAGCUAGGGCAGCAAAUGGGAUUAGAUACCCCAGUAGUCCUAGCCAUAAAUGAUGAAUACUAGGCAUUGUACGUAUCGAUAUGUGUAGUGCUGUAGCUAACGCGUUUAAAUAUCCCACCU
rnacentral:rRNA from 1 species